rnacentral:rRNA from 1 species
AAGCGACCUCGCGAGAGCAAGCGGACCUCAUAAAGUGAGUCGUAGUCCGGAUUGGAGUCUGCAACUCGACUCCAUGAAGUCGGAAUCGCUAGUAAUCGUGGAUCAGAAUGCCACGGUGAAUACGUUCCCGGGCCUUGUACACACCGCCCGUCACACCAUGGGAGUGGGUUGCAAAAGAAGUAGGUAGCUUAACCUUCGGGAGGGCGCUUACCACUUUGUGAUUCAUGACUGGGGUGAAGUCGUAACAAGGUAACCGUAGGGGAACCUGCGGUUGGAUCACCUCCUUACCUUAAAGAAGC